GAUGAACGCUGGCGGCGUGCUUAACACAUGCAAGUCGAACGAAGCGCUUUUAUUUGAUUUCUUCGGAAUGAAGAUUUUAGUGACUGAGUGGCGGACGGGUGAGUAACGCGUGGGUAACCUGCCUCAUACAGGGGGAUAACAGUUAGAAAUGACUGCUAAUACCGCAUAAUACCAAAGUACCGCAUGGUACAGGGGUAAAAACUCCGGUGGUAUGAGAUGGACCCGCGUCUGAUUAGGUAGUUGGUGGGGUAACGGCCUACCAAGCCGACGAUCAGUAGCCGACCUGAGAGGGUGACCGGCCACAUUGGGACUGAGACACGGCCCAAACUCCUACGGGAGGCAGCAGUGGGGAAUAUUGCACAAUGGGGGAAACCCUGAUGCAGCGACGCCGCGUGAGCGAUGAAGUAUUUCGGUAUGUAAAGCUCUAUCAGCAGGGAAGAAAAUGACGGUACCUGACUAAGAAGCACCGGCUAAAUACGUGCCAGCCGCCGCCGUAAUAC
rnacentral:rRNA from 1 species